rnacentral:rRNA from 1 species
CUCAGGAUGAACGCUAGCGGCAGGCUUAACACAUGCAAGUCGAGGGGCAGCGCGGGGUAGCAAUACUCUGGCGGCGACCGGCGAAAGGGUGCGUAACGCGUGAACAAUCUGCCCGUAUCCGGGACAUAAGCGAUGGAAACGUCGUCUAAUUUCCCAUAGCAACGAGGGCCGCAUGACCCAUGUUUGAAAGAUCCGUCGGAUACGGAUGAGUUCGCGAGACAUUAGCUAGUCGGCGUGGUAACGGCACACCGAGGCAACGAUGUCUAGGGGUUCUGAGAGGAAGGUCCCCCACACUGGAACUGAGACACGGUCCAGACUCCUACGGGAGGCAGCAGUGAGGAAUAUUGGUCAAUGGGCGCAAGCCUGAACCAGCCAUGCCGCGUGCAGGAAUGAAGGCCCUAUGGGUCGUAAACUGCUUUUGUGGUGGAGCAAUAAGGCGUACGCGUACGUCGAUGAGAGUACAUCACGAAUAAGCAUCGGCUAACUCCGUGCCAGCCGCCGC